UACGUAGGGUGCGAGCGUUAAUCGGAAUUACUGGGCGUAAAGCGUGCGCAGGCGGUUAUGUAAGACAGAUGUGAAAUCCCAGGGCUCAACCUUGGAACUGCAUUUGUGACUGCAUAGCUAGAGUACGGUAGAGGGGGAUGGAAUUCCGCGUGUAGCAGUGAAAUGCGUAGAUAUGCGGAGGAACACCGAUGGCGAAGGCAAUCCCCUGGACCUGUACUGACGCUCAUGCACGAAAGCGUGGGGAGCAAACAGG
rnacentral:rRNA from 1 species